rnacentral:lncRNA from 1 species
CCUCAUCCUUGAGUGAAGACCAUCUUGAGAAAGGGGUCUCUGCAUUCUCCUGACAUCUGACAGAUCACUGCACCAGACAGGAGGAGGAGAGCAGGCUCAGAGCCGUCUGUCACCGCCAAAAACACCGUGUGGUUGGUAGAUCAGCACAGAUAUCAUGCGAUGAACCAUCCAGUCAGAGGUAUGUGUAUAUCAAUCUGAGUAUUUGUUUUUGAGCAAACUAGUUAUGAGUUCAGCAUUUCAUAUAUCCCUAUCUGUGUAUAUGAAGGCUGUGCCAAGGACUUAAAAGUGUCCAAGCAGUAUUUCAGGAUGUAAUAUAUCACUUUGCCCAUGGUAAGGGGGGACCGCUAGGUCCCGGGAUGAGAGAGAGGAUGGGGAGGCGGUGAAUGUUAAUGUCAAAAUCUGCCCCUGCCUCCCUGACAAGUUGUUGAGAAAGCAGAUGGUAUUUCUGUAGGUAUCGGGUGUUAUCUCAGACGGACCUUUCUAACUCCCAAGUGGUCUUGCCUUGAUGGUUCUCAAACAUUCCAC